AUUGAACGCUGGCGGCAGGCCUAACACAUGCAAGUCGAACGCGUGGCGGACGGGUGAGUAAUGUCUGGGAAACUGCCUGAUGGAGGGGGAUAACUACUGGAAACGGUAGCUAAUACCGCAUACCAUCAGAUGUGCCCAGAUGGGAUGAGCUUGUUGGUGGGGGAAAGGCUCACCAAGGCGACGAUCCCUAGCUGGUUUGAGAGGAUGACCAGCCACACUGGAACUGAGACACGGGCCAGACUCCGACGGGAGGCAGCAGUGGGGAAGAUUGCACAAUGGGUGCAAGCCUGAUGCAGCCAUGCCGCGUGUAUGAAGAAGGCCUUCGGGUUGUAAAGUACUUUCAGCGGUGAGGCGUUACCCGCAGAAGAAGCACCGGCUAACUCCGUGCCAGCAGCCGCGGUAAUUC
rnacentral:rRNA from 1 species